UACGAAGGGGGCUGGCGUUGUUCGGAAUCACUGGGCGUAAAGGGCGCGUAGGCGGCUUUAUAAGUCGGGGGUGAAAGCCUGUGGCUCAACCACAGAAUUGCCUUCGAUACUGUAGAGCUUGAGACCGGAAGAGGUAAGUGGAACUGCGAGUGUAGAGGUGAAAUUCGUAGAUAUUCGCAAGAACACCAGUGGCGAAGGCGGCUUACUGGUCCGGUUCUGACGCUGAGGCGCGAAAGCGUGGGGAGCAAACAGG
rnacentral:rRNA from 1 species